CGCGGGAUAGAGCAGUUCGGUAGCUCGUUGGGCUCAUAACCCAAAGGUCACUGGUUCAAAUCCAGUUCCCGCAACCA
rnacentral:tRNA from 1 species